rnacentral:rRNA from 1 species
AUGAUUGCGGAGGCCUCUAAGUGGGUGUUGGAAGAGAUCAACCAAUGGAUGCGUGCGUUCUUUUGGGCAGGGAAAGACAAAGUGAAAGGUGGACAGUGCUUGGUGGCCUGGAGUACGAUUUGCAGACCCACGUACUUGGGUGGGCUGGGUGUGAGAGAUCUGGAACUUCAAGGGCUUGCUCUGAGGGUGAGAUGGGAAUGGCUAAAGAGGACGGACCCCACGAGGCCUUGGCAGUUGCUUGCCAUGAUGGAGGACAAAGACGCUAGAGAGGUUUUUGACAGCCUUGUCAAGAUCGAAGUGGGAGAUGGCAGUAAGGUUCUGUUUUGGAGAGAUAGAUGGAUCCAUGGUUUUGCGGUCGCGGACAUUGCGCCUUUGCUGCAUAACAUGGUGGACACCCGCAUGAGGAACCGCGCGCACGGUGAGAGAUGCUUUGGAGAACAGCAGAUAGCUGCAUGA